rnacentral:lncRNA from 1 species
GGUACCUCAGAUGGAAAUGCAGAAAUCACCUGUCUUCUGCGACGCUCACACUGGGAGCUGUAGACCGGAGCUGUUCCUAUUCGGCCAUCUUGGCUCCUCCCCAGGAAAAAAUUUCUUAAAGUUGUUUUCUCCACUUUUCUGAUGCAGAAAAAUCAUUUGACAAAAUUCUACACCCAUUGAUGAUAAAGAACUCUGACCAAACUAGAAAUAGAAGGAAAGUUCUUCAGCCAAAUAAAGAGCUACCACAGGAACAUACAAGGAAAGCUGAGAGAAUCCACAGACCCUCUGAAGGAACUGGAUCGCCACUGCAGGCUCCCUGAGAUGCUGAAAAACU